AGCACCAAAGAGGGGGCAGAUUGAAUUCUGAAAAGAAGAAUGUUCAAAAUUUUGAGCAAUUGCGACAUACAUUCCUUUCUGGCAAGCCUUCCUCUUAUUCAUCGUCCCUCCCCAAACGAAGUUGCAGAACUAAUGAAAGGAAAUGUGCUUCAUACCCAUUCAACCUACUCUUAACCUUAUCCUCCCAUAAAAAAGUGGCAUCCCAAGGUAGAUACUAAUAAUCACCCAAAAACCCUCACAGCAUGUUUCUUCCUCAUCAUUUUCACUUUCACCACAUUUCUUCCUCGACAUUUUUCCCUCAGUACUGGGAGAAGGCAGAGUUUCCAUUCCGAAUUGUUCCCAAACUUGAUGCUCUUCGUAUUUCUCAAGGUUAUUCCUAUGCAGGUUUUGGUUUUUAGCUUAUUUGUUCCUUGAAGUGGAAAUCAAGCAAGAUGUUUGGUUAUUUCUGGGUUGCAGGGUUAUGGAUGCCCAGGUCUCUCCCUCACUGGAAGUGCUAUUGCUCUCACAUUGCUAUUGGUUUCUUAGGGUUUUUGUUUGUUUUUGAAGGAUAAACCAGUGAAGUUAAUCUCAUGUUGAAGAUCUUCAAGAAGAAAACAUUUCCCAAAGAUGCUUUGCUGACGAGCAAGAGAGAAAUGGCGGUUGCAACACGAGGUUGAAGGUAGCAACAAGAAGGGGGAAAAUAUCAGAAGAUUUCUUGCCGACCAUUAAAAAUCAUGGUUGUGUUGAUGAUAUUUUGGUAACUUUUUGUGUUUGUAAUAUUUGGAUGGUAUAAUGACAUGAUAGAAUGACAUUACAAUGUUGUAACUUUUUGAUGUUGUAAAAUUUUAUAACAUAUGGAUUUUGACAUCUAAACUAAUGAAAUCGUGUAACUUUUUGUUAAUAUAUGAAUAUUAUGUUUGCAUGUGAAA